rnacentral:rRNA from 1 species
UUGAUACUUAGCGGCGGACGGGUGAGUAACACGUAGGCAACCUGCCCUCAAGUUUGGGACAACUACCGGAAACGGUAGCUAAUACCGAAUAGUUGUUUUCUUCGCCUGAAGGAAACUGGAAAGACGGAGCAAUCUGUCACUUGGGGAUGGGCCUGCGGCGCAUUAGCUAGUUGGUGGGGUAACGGCUCACCAAGGCGACGAUGCGUAGCCGACCUGAGAGGGUGAUCGGCCACACUGGGACUGAGACACGGCCCAGACUCCUACGGGAGGCAGCAGUAGGGAAUCUUCCGCAAUGGGCGAAAGCCUGACGGAGCAAUGCCGCGUGAGUGAUGAAGGUUUUCGGAUCGUAAAGCUCUGUUGCCAGGGAAGAACGCUUGGGAGAGUAACUGCUCUCAAGGUGACGGUACCUGAGAAGAAAGCCCCGGCUAACUACGUGCCAGCAGCCGCGGUAAUACGUAGGGGGCAAGCGUUGUCCGGAAUUAUUGGGCGUAAAGCGCGCGCAGGCGGUCAUUUAAGUCUGGUGUUUAAUCCCGGGGCUCAACCCCGGAUCGCACUGGAAACUGGGUGACUUGAGUGCAGAAGAGGAGAGUGGAAUUCCACGUGUAGCGGUGAAAUGCGUAGAUAUGUGGAGGAACACCAGUGGCGAAGCGACUCUCUGGGCUGUAACUGACGCUGAGCGCGAAAGCGUGGGGGAGCAAACAGAUUAGAUACCCUGGUAGUCCACCGCCGUAACGAUGAGUGCUAGUGUUAAGGGUUUCGAUACCCUUGUU